CCUUGAACUGGGGGAUAGCCUCGGGAAACUGAGAUUAAUACCCCAUAAUUUUACGAAAGAGCAUUCUUUUGUAAUUAAAGCUCCGGCGGUUCAAGAUGGGUGUGCGUCCGAUUAGGUAGUUGGUGAGGUAACGGCUCACCAAGCCGACGAUCGGUAGCUGGUCUGAGAGGACGAUCAGCCACACGGGCACUGAGACACGGGCCCG
rnacentral:rRNA from 1 species